UGUGACGUCGCCAGAGGCCCAUCUCCGUGCGCCGUGACGCCACCGGGGGCGCGCUGCCGUGAUGUUUUCAUAGGCCGGCCCCUCAUGCGGAGCCAAUCAGAAGUAGAGGCGGUGCUGCUGGUUCUUCCAGGAGCACGCAUGCGCAGGCUGGUGAUGGAAGCCGCUGCAGAGCCGGCACUUCCACGUAGACAGGCUCCUAACUGGCUGCAGUCACCUAUAAUCUCCAAAGAGGAGUUUUAAGAUUUCCCAGUCUGCAGGGCCAGGAGCAGCAGGGACCCGACUCAGUGAGCAGAUGCUGCCCACCAACCUCCUGGCGCCUGGUGGGCAUGAGUGCAAGGUCACACAGAAGAAGCUCCUCAAUGGACAGUGAAGAGCCAUCAGCACCACUGCUACCCCGGACACGUAUUCUCCUUGCCUCAGCCUAGACAUGAACAUUCCUUUAAGAUGCACAUUCCUGGAGGGAUCCCAAGAUGGCCGAAUAAGAGGCACUUCCAGAAAGCAGCUCGCAUUGAGAGAGACACAGAAACCGAGUGGUCCCCAGAAUUUCAAAUGAGGUGGCGACACAAGAUGGUGGAUCCCCCUGCUGUUACCCUGCAGACCCAGGGCUUAUAUGCCAUAGAGAAAGCAUAUGUGUGCUUCAGAAGGGAUGUGUAGGACAGUUCCUUAAGGGCAGGAUUUGUGGUAAGUACACCCUCUUACACAAGGAGCAAUAGAUAAACUGGAAAUCUUAGAGGCCAUCCCAGAACUGGGGUUAAUCAGUAACCAACAUGGCAGAUUAGCAUCUAAGAUGGAGCUGCUUGGCCUUCACAACAUACAGUAAUUUAUGUGUGUACUUUUAUUUUUUUUGGUGUCUGGCUUCUUGCUUUGGUGUUACAGUUUUGAGAUUUAUGCAUAUUGUGGUGUAUAGUAUUAAUUUUGCAUUUCUAGUGAGAAGCAAAAAUGAAAUCCUAAGCUUCCAACUGACUGUACCGACCUACCUUUUGUCCUAGGGGACCCCAGAGAAACCUUGAAAACUGAGUUCCUGGCCGCAAUGGGGUGUGAGGUCAGACAUGCCUCAUUAUACUUGCUCCCUCCCUAACAGCCAUUAGGCUUUCUUCCCUAAGCACUAACAGAAACCAGCCUUUUCAAAAGAAUCCACCAUUUUGAUAUCAACCAACUGCCUGAAGCUGCCCCUCCACUUUUUGCCUGAUAAGAGACCACUGCCCACAGAGUGGUUCUGGCUAGUCUAUGGAGAAUGCUCAGUGAGGGUUUGUGUGUCCUCUGCCUCACUAUUUGAUGUCAUAGAACUGGAAACUCCAUCCUCAAAUCAUGCUAACACCACUGUUUUUGAACAUGGGGCCCAUGGAGAGGGAGGAAGCUCUAUUGUGUUUGUGCACAUUUCUCCUUUCAUAAAUGUUUAUCCCUCCUCCUAUAGCUUAUUGAGUAUAUAUACUAGGCCACCCCAUUCAAAAUAAAUUCCUGUCUUAUUCUUCA
rnacentral:lncRNA from 13 species